GAAGAAAUAGAACUGUAGGCUUUCAGAGUUAUUUAAGGAAAUGUUAAGACCCACAAUGCUAGGAUAAACUAAUAGUUUAACGGAUAAAGAAUACGGGUCAUUGUUCAUGUUAAAACACAGCCCUGAAACGAGAUACUUCAUCCACUUCCUCUUGAGCUGGAGUACAAAAUGCAGGAUUUCCUCAAAGCUCUUGGUUUGGUCCAAGUUUCCUGUGGUUUUAAAUCUUUAUGCCAUCCAUUCUCUUCCUUUCCACUGUUAUUUGAGGGAGACCGUGAAUUGGGGAAGGCUCUGGAAGAUUCUGAGUGAAAGAACUGAACUCCGUAGAAGGCAUGUUCCUGAAGCUUAAAAGGGACGUGGAUGAAUCUGGAGAACAUCAUCCUCAGCAAACUGACACAAGAACAGAAAAUGAAACACCGCGUAUUCUCACUCAUAGGAUCUUGCUCUGUCACCCGGCUGGAGUGGUGCGGUGGUACAACAUGAUUCCCUGCGGCUUGGACUCCUGGACUGAAACAAUCCUCCCACCGCAGUAUCCUGAGAAGCUGAGACUACUGGCCUACACCACCAUACUUAGCUAAUUUUUAAAUUAUUUUUGUAGAAAUAAGGACUUGCUUUGUUGCCUAGGCUGGUCUCAAACUCCUGGACCCAAGCAGUCCUACCAAUGCUUAAAUGAAAAUGAUGCUUUGAGGGUGACACAUUGUUUAAUGUUUUGUUUGAUUUCAAAUAUUUUCAAAGUAUCGUUUUCAACUAUGGCUCAUGGCAAAUACUCUUUUCUCCUUGAGAAGUAAUUUGGUUAAAGAGAUCUCUGAGGGCUAAUAUGUGAAGUUACACACUAUUUCUAACACUGACUUGUGAGGCAAAAGCUUUCUCAGGUCAUCCCUUAAUUAAUUCAUGCACGAAGCUUUGAAAUAUAACUUGUUUUUUAAAAAACUGAGAUUACUUUUAGAGGAGAAGACAAGUUAAAAGUAGGUAAUGUAAUUUUAAAAUAGUACAAUUGUUUUUUUGAGAUUGAUAAAAUUUGGUUCUAUUCAAAAGCACAUCUUAUAUAAUGUCAACUUUAUGGUUUAAGGUUUUCCUCUUUUUGAUACCAGAAUGCAACCCUUAUCCUCAAUGUGUUUAUUGAUGGAUUAUGACAGCCUGGCUGCUGAAAUGGGCUUUUCUUGGUAUCCAGCUUCUUUUUUAACACACACACACACACACACACACACACACACACACACACACUCUUUCUUAAGGGAAGCAUCCCAGAGUGCCAAUCAAUAAAUGCAGAUAAAAUAUCACUGAAAAUGUCAGUAGAUGGAGAAAAUUGUGUUUAUUCAGCUCUCAUAGAGAAAACUGUAUAUAAUCGAAAGAAAAACAUUAGAAAGCUCCUUGCAAAGAAUAGAGUAGGAUGUGGACCCCCCAACAGGAUGGAGCAACUAGUGCGUUCCAAAGAGGCAAGAUCUUGUUAAUGGAAGAGUUUUGUAUUCUUGGGCAAGUAUUCUGAUAAUCUUCUAUUCACAUCAUUGGCAAAAGAGGGUUCCCUCACCUUAAUGACAUCCAACAUUGGACAAAUAAGACUGAAAACAUAUUAUUAGUUGUAUACACUCCCACUGUGUGGAAGAGGGCACCAUAUGUGACACAAGGCCACACAGUGGUUGCACCCUGGAAAAACGAAGUGAAGCAUUAGGAGCUGUGAGAGACAAGCUUUGUAGUAGCAAGAGAGUGAGGUGCCUCGUGGUUCCUCCAGCAGGAUGCGAUUGGUUUGUAUCAAUAAUUUUAUAGGUUAUCAGGGAAGCAAAACCCAUUAGGCUGAGGACCCUGUAGAGUAAAGCAAGUCCUGCUGAUAGAGGACUAGCUAGGUAGGGAUGCUUUCUCAAUGGGUGGGAAAUAUGCCCAGCAAAGCAGAAGGAACUCAUGAUCAUAUCUUUGAGGCCUUAUGUGACUCAAAGAUGUCAACACAGGAGUUAAAAUGUUAGGUCUCACAAUGUAACAGGGUAUACAAGUUAAGGUCAAAGCUUAGAACAACUGGAGGAACUGAUCAUAACCACAAAGUUCUUGGUGUCACAACCUCCUCAGUGAGUCCUGAGCUUCUCCUCAAAAUAAAUAUGGAACAUAUUGUUAUGAACUAAAGUCCGUCCCUCCAAAAUUUGUAUGGUGAAGCCUUAAACCCCAAUGUUACUGUAUUCAGAGACAGAGCCUUGAAGUAGGUAAUUAAACUUGAAUGAGGUCCUAAAGGUGGGCCCUAAUCUCAUAGGACUGUUGUUCUUAUAGGAGGAGGAAGACACACCAGAUAUCUAUCUGUCUAUCUAUCUAUCUAUCUAUCUAUCUAUCUAUCAUCGAUCAUCUAUUUAUCUACAUUUAUCUAUACACAUCUAUUAUGUAUCUAUCUACAUACCUGUCAUCAUCUGUUAUCUACCAUUUAUUUUUCUAUCGUCUAUUAUCUAUAUAUCAUCUAUCUAUUACCAAUCUAUUUAUAAACCUAUCUCUCUAUCCAUCUAUUAUCUAUUAUCUAUCUACAUACUUAUCUAACUAUCUCUAAAUAGAGCAUAGAUCUAUCUAUCUAUCUAUCUAUCCAUCCCUCCCUCUUCAUAUGCUCAGAGCAAAGCUCAUGUGAGAAUACAACAGGAAGAUGCCAUUUUUCCAAGAAGCAACAAAAGAUAGGUCUCGCCUGAAACAAACCUGGAGAGCACCUUGACCUUGGACCUGCAGACUAAGGAACUGAGAAAAAAAUUAAUUUCUGUUGUUUAAUUAAAUUCUGGUGUCUGUGGUAUUUUGCUGUGGCUGCCUGUGGGCACCAAAACAAAUGUUGAUAAUGAUAAGUGGAAUGUUAUGAUACCCAAUACCUAAAAAUAUGGAAAUGGCUUUGAAACAGAGUGAUGGGUUAGAGGCUGAGUUUUGAGGUGCCUACUAGAAAAUGCCUAGAUUGUCCCAAGGAGACUGUUGAUAGAAAUAUGAGCAGUAAAGGUGAUUCUGGUGAACUUGCAGACAGAAAUGAGGAACACGUUAUUGGAAACUGGAGAAAAGGCAAUUAUUAUAAAGUGACAACUUGAUGGAAUUGUGUUACAGUAUUUUGUGGAAAGCAGAACUUGUGAGUGAUGAAAUUGGUUAUUUAGCUGGGGAAAUUUCUAAGCAAAGUGUUGAAGGUGUGACUUAGCUUCACCUUACUAUUUAUAGUAAAAUGUGAGAAGACAGAUAUCAAGUUAAGGAAUCAUUAAGCAAAAGGAACUUGAAGAUGUGGAAAUUUCUCAGCCUAUCCCUAUUGCAAAAAAAUGAGAACAUGUUCUGGAGAACACUAAGGAUGUGGCUGGACAAUCACUCCAAAAAGAGAUUACUCAUGACUUUAAUCAGCCAACUCAGCAGAAGCCAGGAAUAGGAAAGGGAUUAUACCAGCAGAGACACUGCCAGUUUAAAUGAAUAAAGGCAGAGGAAAUGUGAUGGAACAAAGUAUGGCCGUGGACUGGGAUUUUACAGGAUGAGGCAAUAGAGCUAUCUGGCUUCAAACAUGUUAUCCUUCAAGAAAAGGAAAGAAUAACCUCAAAGGUGAUUCAGAGACCAUCAAGGGUGCCACUCUCACCACAGGCCCAAUGGGCAUGGCUGUUUUCUCUUCAGUUUCAGGGGAUGAGGCCAUCUCAUCUGUUUCGGGGGCUAAAAUGCCCACACUCAGGGUUUUAGGGACAAGGUGGCAGAACCAAGGGGGUGGAGUGGUGGCCUAAGGCCAUAGAGGUGACACUGCCCUCCAGCAGGCAGGGAAGAUAGAGCAUUGAGCCACAGAGCAUUGUUCUUUGUUCCUGAGAUUUAAGAUCUGAUGUCAUCUGCCUUGCUAGAGACUCAUCACCUCUUUGUUUUCUCUGAAUUCUCCCCUUUGGAAUGGGAAUGUCUAUGCUAUACCUGUGUCAUCAUUGUAUUUUGAAAGCAUGUAACUUGUUUGAGUUUACAAGUUCAUAACUGGAGAGAAAUUUUCCCUCCCGGCAAAUCAUACCUUGAGUUUCAGCCAUACCUGAUUGAGGUAUUUAAAUGAGACUUUGAACUUAGAGUUGAUACUGGAAUGGGUUAAAAAUUGAAGGGGGCUGUUGGAAAGGGGUAGAAGUACUUUGUAUGCAAAAAGUCACAUAUUUUGAGGAGC
rnacentral:lncRNA from 1 species